CGGAGGGAUCAUUGCUGGAACGCGCCCCAGGCGCACCCAGAAACCCUUUGUGAACUUAUACCUUUUGUUGCCUCGGCGCUGCUGGUCUCUAGUAGGCCCCUCACUUCGGUGAGGAAAAGGCACGCCGGCGGCCAAAUCAACUCUGUUUUUACACUGAAACUCUGAGAAAAAACACAAAUGAAUCAAAACUUUCAACAACGGAUCUCUUGGUUCUGGCAUCGAUGAAGAACGCAGCGAAAUGCGAUAAGUAAUGUGAAUUGCAGAAUUCAGUGAAUCAUCGAAUCUUUGAACGCACAUUGCGCCCUCUGGUAUUCCGGAGGGCAUGCCUGUUCGAGCGUCAUUUCAACCCUCAAGCAUUGCUUGGUGUUGGGGCACUGCUUCUAACGAAGCAGGCCCUGAAAUCUAGUGGCGAGCUCGCCAGGACCCCGAGCGCAGUAGUUAAACCCUCGCUCUGGAAGGCCCUGGCGGUGCCCUGCCGUUAAACCCCCAACUUCUGAAAAUU
rnacentral:rRNA from 1 species